rnacentral:rRNA from 1 species
AUUGAACGCUGGCGGCAUGCUUUACACAUGCAAGUCGAACGGCAGCGCGGGGCAACCGGGCGGCGAGUGGCGAGCGGGUGAGUAAUACAUCGGAACGUACCCAGAGGUGGGGGAUAACGUAGCGAAAGUUACGCUAAUACCGCAUACGUUCUACGGAAGAAAGUGGGGGACCUUCGGGCCUGAUGCGUUUGGAGCGGCCGAUGUCUGAUUAGCUAGUUGGUAGGGUAAAGGCCUACCAAGGCGACGAUCAGUAGCUGGUCUGAGAGGACGACCAGCCACACUGGGACUGAGACACGGCCCAGACUCCUACGGGAGGCAGCAGUGGGGAAUUUUGGACAAUGGGCGCAAGCCUGAUCCAGCAAUGCCGCGUGAGUAGAGAAGGCCUUCGGGUUGUAAAGCUCUUUUGUCAGGGAAGAAACGGCUGUGGCUAAUAUCCACGGCUAAUGAUGGUACCUGAAGAAUAAGCACCGGCUAACUACGUGCCAGCAGCCGCCGUAACAC